rnacentral:rRNA from 1 species
ACUGCAGUUUGAUAUUGAGUAUCUGUACCACAUGUACAGGAUAGGUAGGAGCCAUUGAAGUCGGGACGCCAGUUUCGACGGAGGCGUUGUUGGGAUACUACCCUUGUGUUAUGGCUACUCUAACCCAGAUAGGUUAUCCCUAUCGGAGACAGUGUCUGACGGGCAGUUUGACUGGGGCGGUCGCCUCCUAAAAGGUAACGGAGGCGCCCAAAGGUUCCCUCAGAUUGGUUGGAAAUCAAUCGCAGAGUGUAAAGGUAUAAGGGAGCUUGACUGCGAGAG